GGCGAACGCUGGCGGCGUGCUUAACACAUGCAAGUCGAACGGUAAGGCUCCAGCUUGCUGGGGUACACGAGUGGCGAACGGGUGAGUAACACGUGGGUGACCUGCCCUGCACUUCGGGAUAAGCCUGGGAAACUGGGUCUAAUACCGGAUAGGACCGCACCGUGAGGGUGUGGUGGAAAGUUUUUUCGGUGUGGGAUGGGCCCGCGGCCUAUCAGCUUGUUGGUGGGGUAAUGGCCUACCAAGGCGGCGACGCGUAGCCGGCCUGAGAGGGUGGACGGCCACAUUGGGACUGAGACACGGCCCAGACUCCUACGGGAGGCAGCAGUGGGGAAUAUUGCACAAUGGGCGGAAGCCUGAUGCAGCGACGCCGCGUGGGGGAUGACGGCCUUCGGGUUGUAAACUCCUUUCACCAUCGACGAAGGGUUUCUGACGGUAGAUGGAGAAGAAGCACCGGCUAACUACGUGCCAGCAGCCGCCGCAG
rnacentral:rRNA from 1 species